GGCGGUGGGACGCUAUGGCGGGCCGGGCGCUGCGCUGGGCCCGGGCACCGGCACCGGGCGCCCCUCACCUCCCCCGGGACAGGCCCUACCGGAGGCUUGAAGGCCACCGGGCGCCGCCAUCACCACGGUGACAGGCCCCGGCACUGCGGCCUCUGAAGAAGCGUUUCUUACCGGAGACCGGCUGGACUCGACCACGGCGGCCGCCAUCUUGCGGCAGCGACCGGACUCGGCUGCCCGUCUACGCUCCAACCUGCUAAAGGUGCUCCGCGUCCGUGACCUGGCGUUCGGAGCCUUGGGGGCCGCACGCACACUCCCCCCCGGCCCCUUCGUCUUCACCCACCACAAGCUGGACGUGCCGCACGGAGGAUAUCUCCCCGUUGAGGAAGGCUGACGGUGCAGCCACGGCGAAGCUCUCCACGCAGCUCCCGCUGACCGCGCAGCGCUUCCCGGUGCGAGAGCUGGAGCUCUUCAGCCCAGUCCGCAUCUCCAAGAAGGCCCUCCUGUGCUUGCUGAGCUGUCUCGGUGUCAUUCAGGAGCUGAAGUUUGAGGAGAACAACGCUUCGCUCCGGAGCACUGCUACUUCAUCCUCAUCCUGCAGGGCCGCAUGGAGGUGGAGAUUGGGAAGGAGAGCCUGAAGUUUGAAAAUGGAGCCUUCACCUGCUAUGGCGUCUCUGCACUGGCACCGCUACCUGCAGGUGAGAGCAGCCAGGAGGACCGGACCC